rnacentral:snRNA from 1 species
AUGUUCGCUUUGGCAGCACAUAUACUAAAAUUGGAAUGAUGAUGAGAAGAUUAUCAUGGCCCUUGCACAAGGAUGACAUGCAAAUUACUGUAGCAUUCCAUACUUUU